AUACGGAGGGUGCAAGCGUUAAUCGGAAUUACUGGGCGUAAAGAGUACGUAGGUGGCUUAUUAAGUCAGAUGUGAAAGCCCCGGGCUUAACCUGGGAACUGCAUUUGAUAUUGGCAAACUAGAGUAUGGUAGAGGCGGGUAGAAUUCCUAGUGUAGCGGUGAAAUGCGUAGAUAUUAGGAGGAAUACCAGUGGCGAAGGCGGCCCGCUGGACCAAUACUGACACUGAGGUACGAAAGCGUGGGUAGCGAACAGGAUUAGAUACCCCAGUAGUCC
rnacentral:rRNA from 1 species